GAUGAACGCUGGCGGCGUGCCUAAUACAUGCAAGUCGAGCGAACAGACGAGGAGCUUGCUCCUUCGACGUUAGCGGCGGACGGGUGAGUAACACGUAGGUAACCUACCUAUAAGACUGGGAUAACUUCGGGAAACCGGAGCUAAUACCGGAUAAUAUUUCGAACCGCAUGGUUCGAUAGUGAAAGAUGGCUUUGCUAUCACUUAUAGAUGGACCUGCGCCGUAUUAGCUAGUUGGUAAGGUAACGGCUUACCAAGGCAACGAUACGUAGCCGACCUGAGAGGGUGGACGGCACCGGGAGAACUCAAACACGGCCCAGCCUCCAGCGGGGGGAAGCAGGAGGGAUUCUUCCGGAAUGGGGAAAAACCAGAGGGCGCAACCCCGGGGGAGAAAGAAAGGUUUUCGGUUGGAAAACCCUUUUUAUGGGGAAAAAAAAAAGGUAUAAGAAACGGUGCACGUUGGGGGGGUUCCUAAAAAAAAAGCCACGGAAAACAAC
rnacentral:rRNA from 1 species